rnacentral:rRNA from 1 species
UACGUAGGUGGCAAGCGUUGUCCGGAAUUACUGGGCGUAAAGGGCGCGUAGGCGGUUUACCAAGUCAGGCGUGAAAGGCCUGGGCUCAACCCGGGAACUGCGCUUGAUACUUGUAGACUUGAGUCCGGGAGAGGAUGGCGGAAUUCCCAGUGUAGAGGUGAAAUUCGUAGAUAUUGGGAAGAACACCGGUGGCGAAGGCGGCCAUCUGGACCGGAACUGACGCUGAGGCGCGAAAGCGUGGGGAGCAAACAGG